rnacentral:rRNA from 1 species
UACGGGGGGGGCAAGCGUUGUUCGGAAUUACUGGGCGUAAAGGGCUCGUAGGCGGCCAACUAAGUCAGACGUGAAAUCCCCCAGGCUCAACCUGGGAACUGCGUCUGAUACUGGAUGGCUUGAAUUCGGGAGAGGGAUGCAGAAUUCCAGGUGUGAGCGGUGAAAUGCGUAGAUAUCGUAAGGAAGACCAGUGGCGAAGGCGAAUCUCUGGACAGUUACUGGACACUGAGGCACGAAGGCC